GACGAACGCUGGCGGCGUGCUUAACACAUGCAAGUCGAACGGAAAGGCCCCUUUGGGGGUCCUCGAGUGGCGAACGGGUGAGUAACACGUGAGUAACCUGCCCUUGACUUCGGGAUAACUUCAGGAAACUGGGGCUAAUACCGGAUAGGAAUCCUUGCUGCAUGGUGGGGGUUGGAAAGCUUCGGCGGUUUUGGAUGGACUCGCGGCUUAUCAGCUUGUUGGUGGGGUAGUGGCUUACCAAGGCUUUGACGGGUAGCCGGCCUGAGAGGGCGACCGGCCACAUUGGGACUGAGAUACGGCCCAGACUCCUACGGGAGGCAGCAGUGGGGAAUAUUGCACAAGGGGCGGAAGCCGGAUGCAGCAACGCCGCGUGCGGGAUGACGGCCUUCGGGCUGUAAACCGCUUUCAGCAGGGGCGAAGCUUGUGGUGACGGUACCUGCAGAAGAAGCACCGGCUAACUACGUG
rnacentral:rRNA from 1 species